GGGCAAGCUCAAUUACGCGUCCUCCGGAAUCGGCAGCACGCAGCAUCUCGCUGGUGAGAUGUUCAAACUCAUCACGGGCACGAACCUGGUCCAUGUGCCGUACAAAGGCAGCGGUCCGGCCGUGGUCGACCUGCUGGCCGGCCACGUGUCGAUGAACUUCGACACCAUGCCGCCCGUGCUGCCGC
rnacentral:misc_RNA from 1 species